CUUUCCCCACCUUCUCCCCUUUCCUCUUCUCCCCAGUCUCUAUGCUCUGAGCUGACCCCAGCUCCUUCCUGGGAAGACUCUUCCUUCCUGUCCCAGACAUGUUGCUUCUCCUCCUAGGGCUGCCACUCCCCACCACCGUCCCCAGCCCCGCUCCGUUCAGGGCUGGGACUCUGCCCCCGGAGCAUCCUCCCCAGCUGACAUCACCCAUCCCACUCCAGCCCCAGGCCCCUCUGCCCACGCUGCACCCAGCGCCGCCAGCGCCCUGACCCCAGGACCUGCCGCUGCCGCUGCCGACGCCGCAGCUUCCUCCGUUGCCAAGGGCGGGGCUUAGAGCUCAACCCAGACACCUGCAGGUGCCGGAAGCUGCGAAGGUGACACAUUGCUUUUCAGACUCAGCGGGGCCACUUGCCUCACAGGCCACACCCCAGAGGGGGACUAGAGGGCAGCCUGGUGAGAACAGUACAGCCCCCCAAGACUUCAGCCCGGGCGGAAGCUGCUCCAGGACCUGGGCCUCUCAGAGGGCUUUCUGUCCAUCCCUUGCCUCUACAUACUGCUGUCCAGCAGGGUGGGCAGAGUUGGAUGAGGAGACUUUGAGGCAGCAAGAGGGGUCGCAUACCAACUUGGGAGAGAAUGGGUCCUAUCUCACUGUUGACCACCUUGUGCAAGUGAGCAUCUUACAACUGGCUCAUCUCUCCCCUAAGAAGAACCCGAUCUUCUACAAAGAACAGAAGUUGGGCUUCGGUAUGAGAACUCUGACCCCCAACCCUGAUAAAAAAAGAUGGAAGGAG